AAAUUGAAGAGUUUGAUCAUGGCUCAGAUUGAACGCUGGCGGCAGGCCUAACACAUGCAAGUCGAACGGUAACAGGAAGCAGCUUGCUGCUUUGCUGACGAGUGGCGGACGGGUGAGUAAUGUCUGGGAAACUGCCUGAUGGAGGGGGGAUAACUACUGGAAACGGUGGCUAAUACCGCAUAACGUCGCAAGACCAAAGAGGGGGACCUUCGGGCCUCUUGCCAUCAGAUGUGCCCAGAUGGGAUUAGCUUGUUGGUGAGGUAACGGCUCACCAAGGCGACGAUCCCUAGCUGGUCUGAGAGGAUGACCAGCCACACUGGAACUGAGACACGGUCCAGACUCCUACGGGAGGCAGCAGUGGGGAAUAUUGCACAAUGGGCGCAAGCCUGAUGCAGCCAUGCCGCGUGUAUGAAGAAGGCCUUCGGGUUGUAAAGUACUUUCAGCGGGGAGGAAGGUGUUGUGGUUAAUAACCGCAGCAAUUGACGUUACCCGCAGAAGAAGCACCGGCUAACUCCGUGCCAGCAGCCGCGGUAAUACGGAGGGUGCAAGCGUUAAUCGGAAUUACUGGGCGUAAAGCGCACGCAGGCGGUCUGUCAAGUCGGAUGUGAAAUCCCCGGGCUCAACCUGGGAACUGCAUUCGAAACUGGCAGGCUUGAGUCUUGUAGAGGGGGGUAGAAUUCCAGGUGUAGCGGUGAAAUGCGUAGAGAUCUGGAGGAAUACCGGUGGCGAAGGCGGCCCCCUGGACAAAGACUGACGCUCAGGUGCGAAAGCGUGGGGAGCAAACAGGAUUAGAUACCCUGGUAGUCCACGCCGUAAACGAUGUCUACUUGGAGGUUGUGCCCUUGAGGCGUGGCUUCCGGAGCUAACGCGUUAAGUAGACCGCCUGGGGAGUACGGCCGCAAGGUUAAAACUCAAAUGAAUUGACGGGGGCCCGCACAAGCGGUGGAGCAUGUGGUUUAAUUCGAUGCAACGCGAAGAACCUUACCUGGUCUUGACAUCCACGGAAGUUUUCAGAGAUGAGAAUGUGCCUUCGGGAACCGUGAGACAGGUGCUGCAUGGCUGUCGUCAGCUCGUGUUGUGAAAUGUUGGGUUAAGUCCCGCAACGAGCGCAACCCUUAUCCUUUGUUGCCAGCGAUUAGGUCGGGAACUCAAAGGAGACUGCCAGUGAUAAACUGGAGGAAGGUGGGGAUGACGUCAAGUCAUCAUGGCCCUUACGACCAGGGCUACACACGUGCUACAAUGGCGCAUACAAAGAGAAGCGACCUCGCGAGAGCAAGCGGACCUCAUAAAGUGCGUCGUAGUCCGGAUUGGAGUCUGCAACUCGACUCCAUGAAGUCGGAAUCGCUAGUAAUCGUGGAUCAGAAUGCCACGGUGAAUACGUUCCCGGGCCUUGUACACACCGCCCGUCACACCAUGGGAGUGGGUUGCAAAAGAAGUAGGUAGCUUAACCUUCGGGAGGGCGCUUACCACUUUGUGAUUCAUGACUGGGGUGAAGUCGUAACAAGGUAACCGUAGGGGAACCUGCGGUUGGAUCACCUCCUUACCUUAAAGAAGC
rnacentral:rRNA from 1 species